rnacentral:lncRNA from 1 species
GUUUGUCAUAUAUGGCUGUAGUGAAUGUUCUAGUCAGAGUUGUUACCUUCUUGAACCCCCAAAUUUAUUACUUGUGUCUCUGUUUUUACUCAUAGAAUUUUCCUUCUUAUUAGGUUUUAGCCAGUAAAAAAAAAAAAAAAAAAAAAAAAAAGUCUAAAACGCGUGCACCGCCCCUGACCAUUAUUUUGUUUGGUGAAGGGAUAAGGUCACGCAAGGUUGCUAACGAACCGGCUUAAAAUCAAACCUUAGCCGCACAACAUGAAAUCAAAUCUUAGCUGUUGAUUAACAAGAUAAGUUACUAAUCACAACCGUCUAUAUCUCAUAACGCGCAAUAUAAAAUCACACCUAAAUGUCAGGCUGUUAAUCAUUCCCCGCUUUGCCUUAUCCUUCUCUUCCGUUUUUCGUUCGCAAAGUCACUCUCCUCCUGCAGAUCUUCCUUCCAUGGAUCGUUUUCCUGAGAUUAUGAAUCUCGAAUUCGAUCUUAUCGCUUCGAGAUGUAGACGUUGAUAUCAGCUUCUGCCGGUGUUCUUCCGGCGUGGACUCAAAUUAACCGGUUCGUUGUGCUUGAUAUCAUCUAUGGCGAUGGCGACGGAGCUCUUGUCAAAUCCUUGGCGGUUAUGAUAUCCACAGCUGGCGUGUUUCUGUCGAGAUCGGAUGCUGUGGUCACCGACUGUUGCUCUGUUAGAUGUUACUGGUUGAUUAUUCCGGUUUGAUGGGUAUAAUUGUAACUUUCUGAUGAUUGGGGAUGUAUUAAGAGGUAUGGGGACGAUAGGCUCUGGGUUGAGGGGUUGUGUUCUGGACCGAUUUUUGUCAUCCGGCCUUUGCCAUGGCAGGUGCGCUUGCAUGGCAGGUCAAAAAGAUCAAUAGUGAAAGAAAAGAUUUUUUGGUUUGGAGGGGGAGACAGCAUGGGGAUUUUUAGCCCAGGGUCUCUUCCCCUCUGUGUGCUCUGUGUCCUGCUUCCUUACUUGGUUUCUACUCUAUAUUUUCUCCCACAUCCCGACCAGACAGCAUUGGGAUUCUUGGGACUAUACAGCAAUUGGUCUCCAUGAGGUAUUAUCUGCAAUCCUGCCUAAUAUGCUAUUGGGACUGAUAUGCAUAACAUGACACUAAUUUGUCCAUCCACUAUGCAAAUUUCCUAUUAUGCACAAUUCUGAUCAUAAUCCAUCCAGUUUAUGCACUAAAACUAUCAGUACACCGGAAAUUUCUUAAUUAUGUUGCACAAUUAUACUUAUCUUCAAUGUCGCCACAAGUAUAUGGGUAUAAUUGUAUAUGAUCUGAGGAGUGUUCGGUGCUGAGUUUGGAGUGAAAUUGAAACAAAAGGUCUAGAUUCAUCAGUUACAAGUUUUUCCUGCUCUAUUCCCACAUGACAUAUUUUAUUUCUGCAAGGGGAGCUGUGUGUGGUUCUUGAAUGUAAACAGUUAAAGAAUGCCAUUAGUAUCAGUAUUUUGGGAUGCCAUUGUGCAAGUAUUAUUUGAUUUUAUAAUGCUAAAAUCCUCUACAACUAUCGCCUCUUGGUCUCUAUUUUGACAUUUUGUAACAAUGCCAAAAUUACAUGGGAUGCAUCUGCACCCUCUGUAAUCAAGUGUAUCAUCUUUAGCUUUUUGCUUUGCUAGUCCUGUGUUUGCAUUACUAGUAGUUGGUUCUGAGGUUGUGUGGCCUCUUGGGGAUAUUUGUUCCAGCAUUAGUUUUGAAAUGAUGUUGCUGUCAAUUUCAAGCUGUCUGCUGUUCUAAUUUCGGACAUCAAGGUGAAUAAAAGCCUUUCAAGAGGAGUAUUUUUAUUGUUUCAUCUUGUUUUCGGAUAUCACACUCAGUUUUAGAUCAGCGUACUGUUCUUGAAUUCAUAGUCAUAAUCAGCCUUCAUAUGCUGAUUCGUUUAUGAAGGUGCUGUGAAAGUUUGUCAUUUCAUUCUUUUGAACCAUUAUCAUCUAUCUGCAAUUGGAGUAAACCAUUUUGGCUACCAUUUUUGUUACAUUUAAAAAAAAUUAUAAUAGAAUCAUUUUGGCUACCAGAUUUAUCAAUGGUUUUCUAGAUGGCCCUUGUGAUAAUAUUUUAAAAGCAUUUACAAAUAAAUAAGUUGGGCUGCUUGUCAAGUAUUUGAUCCAAUAUAUUGGUUUGAGGUAAUGGUUGAUCUACCAAUGGGAAAUGAUAUGAAGGAGCUAAGUUACGGGAUAUGUGACACAGAUAUGGAUACAACCUAGAAAAUUCUGUAUGCGAUGCUGCUUUGAAUAUUAAAACUGAAGCGAUUUUGGAUCCAAUUAAAUUCCUGGUCAAGGUGAGAUGGUGAGUCAAGUUGAAAGUGUCGUGGGAUGCAUUUUGAGAUC